rnacentral:tRNA from 1 species
GGGGUUAUAGCUCAGUGGCAGAGUGUAUGCUUAGCAUGCACAAGGUGGUCCUGGGUUCAAUCCCCACUACCUUCA